rnacentral:lncRNA from 10 species
CUAACUGCCAAACUGGUUUGGGUGGAGCAAUGGCUGCGGAAACAGGAAAAACUGGAGGCUUUAAAAGAACUGUUGCAGGAACAAUUGCAAGAGGGACAUAUAGAGCCUACUUUCUCCCCUUGGAAUUCUCCUGUAUUUGUCAUUAAGAAAAAAGCUGGAGAUGAACAAACCACGUAGGUGCCCUCAAGAUGUGUACGACCAUGGAACAGGAGACUGGAAGGACCCAUGGAUCCCAACCAUGGACUGGGUUCCCCUAGUAUGAGCCAUGCUGAGAAAGUGCUGGAGUGCCAGGGUUUUACCUAUAGAUACUUAACGAACCAAUGCUUUCUGACUGAACUCCUCUCUACCCUGAAUACAAGAGACCCUAAUAGGUAGGCAGGAGUAUCAUCGCCCCUAUUCAGCAUGAAGUUACAGAAGGUGGACCUUCAUCCUUCUGCAACCCCUAGGAUUAAGGGUCCUCUGUAAAAGGGAAAGGGGAAAUAUGUAGGAAGCAUUCAAACCAGAGCGACUCCAUUUUGAAUAAGGGCUAAGAAAAAUGAAGCUGGAUCACCAACUGGCAAUUAAGGGCUGCACAGCCUGUGAUUGCCUUGCUCAAUUAAUUUUAGAAAGAGGCCACCUUAUGCUAGUAAUAAUGAUAGCUGUGGCGGUUUUUACAAAAAAGAGAAGGGGGGCAUGUUGGGAGAAAAGCUGAGUGUUGGGAGAGAAGCUGAGGCAGAGCUUGCAUGUGUGCUAGACUUGCUGGCUCCUUGCUUCCAGCACUGCCAUUAUCUCAAGUAGCCAUAUGUCUCUCAUUCACUUGAUACACUGUUUCUUUUCAAACCCCACAUCCUCACCACCUGUUUCUUUGAGCACCAAUAAAUAGCGUGGGCUCCCAGAGCUUGGGGCCUUCGCAGCCUCACACGAUGGCCCCCUGGGCCCACUUCUCUCAAACUGUCUUUUUAAUCAUUCCUUUGACUCCGCCGGACUUCGUCGUCCCCAUGACCUGGUGUUGGGUCUGAUCACCCCAACAGCAGUGGGCAAGGUGAAUCCAUUGGGCAAUUACAGCAUCUCCUGGGAAAGAUAGAUUCUGUAAACAGGCCAGGCAAAUGGAUCUAACUGGCCAAUGGAAAAGCUGGGAUUAGAAGGCAAUGGAACCUGGUCAUAGUCAGAGACAAAGCACCAACAGGUAUGAGGAUCACGUCCACCUUCCCGUACUGUCAGUUAAUAACCUGGCUGGGGUUGAAACUGACCUUCUGAGGCUCUGGCCACACUGGAGGUCAGGAAUGCUUGCACUACAGCCAGGCCUUUUCUGCCUUCCCUCCCCUCCUGUCUGGUUCCUACUGAGGACUCAGCUAAAUGAACAUGUUUUUCUCCAUUGGUCUGGAUGGUUCCAGAGACAAUCAGCUGCAGUGCUACAGUGGAAAGUUGGAAGGAAGAGAGUGAGUUUGGGAGGAUGUGGCCCAAGCCUGGACUGACUUCAUUUCUAGCCUAUGAAGAUGAUUAAACAGCGACUUAGGGUCUAAAGACCAGUACCUUCCAGGUAGCUCUUUAGGUCUGGAAUUCUCAGCUCUGCAUUCCCUCUCUCAAGGUCUCAUCUCUUCCGGAAGAGUUAGUUGGUUAUCUGAUGGGAUAGAAAAUCUGAAUAUUGGGCCAGGUGCUGGUGGCUCACGCCUGUAAUCCCAGCACUUUGGGAGGCUGAGGCCCCUGAGGUCGGGAGUUCGAGACCAGCCUGACCAACAUGGAGAAACCCUAUCUCUACUAAAAAUACAAAAUUAGCCGGGCAUGGUGGUGCAUGCCUGUAAUCCCAGCUACUCGGGAGGCUGAGGCAGGAGAAUCGCUUGAACCCAGGAGGCGGAGGUUGCAGUGAGCAGAAGUCGUGCCAUUGCACUUCAGCGUAGGCAACAAGAGCGAAAGACUCCAUCUCAAAAAAAAAAAAAAAAAAAGCAAAAAGGUCUUAUAGGGAAAAGAGAGAUCAGACUGUUAGUGUGUCUAUGUAGAAAGGGAAGAUAUAAGAAAUUUCAUUUUGACCUUACCCUGAACAAUUGCUUUGCCCUGAGAUGCUGUUAAUCUGUAACUUUGCCCCAACCUUAAGCUCACAAAAACCUGUGUUGUAUGAAAUCAAGGUUUAAGGGAUCUAGGGCUGUGCAGAAUGUGCCUUGUUAACAAAAUGUUUACAAGCAGUAUGCUUGGUAAAAGUCAUCGCCAUUCUCUAGUCUCGAUAAACCAGGGGCACAAUGCACUGCGGAAAGCCGCAGAGACCUCUGCCCUGGAAGGUUGGGUAUUGUCCAAGGUUUCUCCCCAUGUGAUAGUCUGAAAUAUGGCCUCGUGGGAUGAGAAAGAUCUGACCAUCCCCCAGCCCGACACUCGUAAAGGGUCUGUGCUGAGGUGGAUUAGUAAAAGAGGAAAGCCUCUUAUAGUUGAGAUAGAGGAAGGCCACUGUCUCCUGCCUUUUCCCUGGGAACUGAAUGUCUCGGUAUAAAACCCGAUGGUACAUUUGUUCAAUUCUGAGAUAGGAGAAAAACCACCCUAUGGCGGGAAGCGAGACAUGUUGGCAGCAAUGCUGCUUUGUUAUUCUUUACUCCACUGAGAUGUUUGGGCAGAGGGAAACAUCAAUCUAGCCUACUUGCACAUCCAGGCAUAGUACCUCCCUUUGAACUUAAUUAUGACACAGAUUCUUCUGCUCACAUGUUUUGUUGCUGACCUUCUCCCUAUUAUCACCCUGCUCUCCUACCACAUUCUUCUUGCUGAGAUAGUGAAAAUAAUAAUCAAUAAAAACUGAGGGAACUCAGAGACCGGUGCCGGUGCAGGUCUUUGGUAUGCUGAGCGCCGGUCCCCUGGGCUCACUUUUCUUUCUCUAUACUUUGACUCUGUGUCUUACUUUUCUCAGUCUCUCGUCCCACCCAACUAGAAAUACCCACAGGUGUGGAGGGACUGGCCACCCCUUCAAGUCUGAAUGUUGUUUGCCUGGGAGUGAAAUUUCCUGUAACUCCUUGAGGAGCUUUAAAAAAAAAAAUACCGGUUCUUAGAUUUCUCCCUUUCUCCCCCUACUCUGGGGUGUGCUUGGGCAUUGAGCCUUUAAAAUAUCCCCAGGUGAUUUGAAUGAAUAGCCCAGGUUAAGAACCACUGCCCUAAAAAGAGCAGCAGGUUUGUGCUAUUUCUUUUUUUUUUUUUUGAGACCGAGUCUCACUCUGUCAUCCAGGCUGGAGUGCAGUGGUGCAAUCUCAGCUCACUGGAACCUCUGCCUUCCGGGUUCAAGAUCCUCCUGCCUCAGCUUCCCGAAUAGCUGGGAUUUACAGGCGCCCCCAAGCCCGGCUAAUUUUUGUAUUUUUAGUACAGACGAGGUUUCACCAUGUUGGCCUGGCGGGUCUGAAACUCCUGACCUCAAGUGAUCCACCCGCCUCGGCCCCAAAGUGCUGAGAUUACAGGCAUGAGCCACCGCACCCUGUCAGGUUUGUGCUUUUUGGACAGGUGGGGCUGUGUGUUGUACCUGUCUGCUAACAAAUGUUCAUACACCUGGGCAUGGUGGCUCAUAACUGUAAUCCUGGCACUUUGGGAGGUUGAGUGGGAGGAUCGCUUGAGGCCAGGAGUUUUAGACCAGCCUGAGCAACAUAGUAAGACCUCGUCUCUACAAAAAAUUUUAAAAAGCCCACUGUGGUGGUGUGUACCUGUAGUCCUAGCUACUCAGCAGGCUGAGGCAGGAGUGUUAUUUGAGCCAAGGAGGUCGAGGGUGCAAUGAAUCCUAGUCUCACCACUGCACACUAGCCUGGGUGGCAGAGUGAGACCCUGUUUUAAUAAAAAAAAAAGAAAGAAGUUCAGUCUGGGUGUGCUGGCUCACGCCUGUAAUCCCAGCACUUUGGGAGGCUGAUGUAGGAAGAUCACUGGAGCCCAGGAGUUCAAGACCAGCCUGAGCAACAUGGCGAAAUCCUGUCUCUACUAAAAGUACAAAAAAUUUGGUGGGUGUGGUGGCAUGCACUUGUAGUUCCAGCUACUGGGGAGGCUGAGGUGGGAGGAUCACCUAAGCCUGGGAGGUCAAGGCUGUGGUGAGCCAUGAUCGCGCCACUGCACUCCAGCCCAAGCAAUAGAGUGAGACCCUGUCUCAAGAAAAAAAAAAAGUUCGUACAGGUGCAGACUCAGUCUGAGACUGGUUCUAACAGGUAAAAUACCUCCAGUGGCAAGGCAGCAAGGAAGGAGCCUUGUGUUUCUUUCUGCCUUUAGCCACUGGAGGCAGAAAAGAACUCGGCAAUUUGUGAAUGACCACAGACUGGAAAAAAAGGGGAGUGUUCUCCAGGCUUUCAAAGUUUAGUGUUUAGAAUCACCAGAAGAGCUUGUUAAAACUCAGAUUUUUUGGCCCUACCCCAGAGAUUCUGAUGCAGUUGGUCUAGGCUAGGGCAUACAUUUGCACCUCUCCUAGGUGAUGCUGAUGAUGGUGGUCUGCAGUCACAUCUUGAGCAGCAGUGCUGUCUAUGCCAAUGGAUAGUGUGCGCAAAGGCCUAAGGGUGUGAGAGUCCGGCUUAUCCUGGGAUAAGUGCUUAGUGAGACGAGAGUUAACACGACUGCUGGAGGUUAAGGUGGAAGCUAAAUUAUGAAGAGCCUAACAUCCAUGCUGAGUUUAGACUUGACCCUGAGUCCACUGAGAAGCCACCUAAUUAGGUAUACAAAUACUUAGGGUCCUUGGGUGGUGGGGUGGCAGAGGCAAGAUCUCAAGCCAUCUGCUCCUGAGGGUUCUGGGAUGGUAGAAGUGAUGAUGGUGACUGCACCACAGUUGUGGACACCAGAGGGGGCGGGAGGCUGGAAAGGGGUUGUAAACAAGGAUAGUGGACACUUCUGCACUUUCCCUAAGGCAAGGCCGUCCCUAGAGGGGUCUGUUCAAGGUCUCAUGAUGUCUGAUGCUUGAUCUGUGAAUUUGGAGGGUGUUUUUGGAUGAGAUCAAUGUUCCUUUUUUUGUUUGCUUUGUUUGUUGUUGAGAUAGGGUCUCGAUCUUUCUCCCAGGCUGGGGUACAGUGGCGCCAUCUCAGAUCACUGCAGCUUCUGCCUCCUGGGCUCAAGUGAUCCUCCCACCCUCAGCCUCUGGAGUAGCUGGGACUUCGGGCACGUGCCACCAUGCCCAGCUGUGAAACAUUCUUCACAGAAAAUUAUCUUCUGGGUCUUGAGCCUGCUGGCCCACAGUGUAGAUUUUGGACUUGCCCACAUCCGUAACUGCAAAAGCUAAUUCCUUAUGAUAAAUCUUUCUGAAUACAUACAAAUCCUCUCGGUUCAGUUUCUCUGGAGAACACUAACUAAUACAAUGUUGGACAGGAAGUUUCUGCUCUCAGUCUUUAAGAACAGGUGAAUCUUAUUCCUCAUGGCAUGGGGGCCACUGGAGUAUGUUUCUUUUCUUUUUGGGGGGAGUGGGAGAGGAGGAACAGGGUCUCACUCUGUUGCCCAGGCUGGAGUGCAGUGUGUGAUCAUCGCUUACUGCAGCCUCGACUUCCAGGCUCAAGCGAUCCUCUCACCUCAGCCUCCAAAGUAGGUGGGGCUGCAGGUGCGUGCCACUGUGCCAGGCUGAUUUUUUAAGUAAUUUAUUAUUUUUCAGAUAGGGGCCUUACUGUGUCACCCAGGCUGUAGUGCACGAUCAAGGCUCACUGCAGCCUCAAUAUCCCUGGGCUGAGGUGAUUCUACCACCUUAGCCUCCGGAGUAGCUGGGACUACAGGUGUGCCACCAGGCCCAGCUCAUUUUUGUGUUUUUUGUAGAGACAGGGUCUUGCCAUGUUGCCUAAGCUGGUCUCAAACUCCUGUGCUCAAGCAAUCCGUCCACCUCAGUCUCCCAAAGUGUUGGGAUUACACAUGUGAGCUACUGAGCCCAGCCUAAUUUACUUUUUGUGGAGAUCAGGUCUCACUAUGUUGCCCUAGCUGAUCUCGAACUCCUGGGUUCAAGUGAUCCUCCACUUUAGCCUCCCUGGACUGUUUUCAGACAGCUAUCCUGAAGUUCCCCAAAGAGUAACACAUGGCUCUGGGGUUGAGAGGAGUUGAAUGAUGGAGUCCCUUUAAGACAUUACCGUUUCUUCUGUUCUCCUGGGAGAGUAAUGCUGGGGGCAUGCCCAGUAAAGCCAUUAGGCAGGAGGAGCCAUUGAAACACCUCAUCUGUCAUCAACUAUGUCUAUCUAGAGAAGAAGAAGGUUUAAACCAUGAGGGGGGAGGGUAUCCAGAGUGCCUGGCCUUGGAAAUUCUUCCCAGGAUGUGGAGAUAUACGGUGAGUGGAUAGACUAGGUCUUCUUUGUCUACAUCCAAAAGAUGUGUCCUUUUUUCAUUUGUUUGUUUUCUUCUACUCUUUAUUUUAAUCUUUUUUAAAUCUUGUGCUUGUAUUGUGGAACCAAAUCUUGUGGUUGUGUUGAGGGAAAACUGAAAUAAACUUACAAAUUCAGGCUGUGCACACACAUGUUUAUAGUGGCUUUAUUCCUAAUUGCCAAAACUUGGAAGCAACCAAAAUGUUCUUUAGUAGGUAAAUGGAUAAACUGUGGUACAUCCACACAACGGAGUAUAACUCAGUGCUAAAAAGAAAUCAGCUAUCAAGUCAUGAAAAGACAUGGAAGACGGGCUGGGUGCCGUGACUCACGCCUGUAAUCCCAGCAUUUUGGGAGGCCGAGGCAGGUGGAUCACCUGAGGCCAGGAGUUCAUCACCAGCCUGGCCAACAUGGCAAAACUCCGUCUCUACUAGAAAUACAAAAAUUAGUUGGGUGUGGUUGCGCACGCCUGUAAUCCCAGCUACUCAGGAGGCUGAGGUAGGAGAAUCGCUUGAACCUGAGAGGCGGAGGUUGCAGUGAGCAAAGAUUGUGCCACUGCACUCUAGCCUCUGAGACAGAGAGAGACUCCAUCUCAAAAAAAAAAAAAAAAAUUGGUUUCCAUGGUUGGGAAGGGGGUUGGAGAAGAAUAGGGAGCACACAAAGGACUUUUAGGGCAGUGGAAAUACUCCAUAUACCUUUAUGGUAGGCACAUAUCAUAUAUUUGUCCAAACCCAUAGGAUGUACAUCACCAAGAUUCAACCCUCAGGUACUCUAUGGAGUUUGGGUGAGAAUGAUGUGUCAAUAUAGGUUCAUUCACUGUAGCAAAUGUACCAUUCUGGUGGAGGAUGUUGAUAAUGGGAGAGGCUGUGUGAGUGAGGGCACAGGUAUGUGGGAAAGCUCUGCACCUUCCUCGCAAUUUUGCUGUUAACUUAAAACUGCCUUUUGAAAUUUUUUCGCAGACAGGGUCUUACUUUGUGACCCAGGCUGAAGUGCAGUGGUGCAAACACAGCUCACCAUAGCCUCAACCUACCAGGCUCAAGCAAUCCUCCCACCUCAGCCUCCCGAGUAGCUGAGACUAUAGGCACAGGCCAUCAUGCCUGGCUAAUUUUUGUAUUUUUUGUAGAGAUGGGGUUUCACCAUGUUAGCCAAGCUGGUCUCAAACUCCUGGGCUCAAGUGAUCCUCCCACCUCGGCCUCCCAAAGUGUUGAGAUUACAGGUGUGAGCCACCGUGCCUGGCCAAAACUGCCCUUAAAAAUAGUCUUAACACAGCGAGAGCCCCAUCUCUACAAAAAGUUUAAAAAAAAAAAAAAAAAAAAUUAGCCAGACGUGGUGUCGCACACCUGUAGUCCCAGCCAGUUGGAGAACUGAGGUGGGAGGGUCACUGGAGACGGGGAGUUUGAGGCCACAGUGAGCCGUGAUUGCAUCACUGCACUCCAGCCUGGGUGACAGAGUGAGACCCUGACUCAAAAGAGGAAAAAAAAGCUCUCGAGAAUAUUUCGAACUAAUUUAGUAGCCAUGUGUGAGUACUCUACCGUAGUUUGCUAAGUUGGUGAAUUCCCACUAAGGUUUAUUGGAAAACUCUUAGGACUGCAAGCUAGUGGGGGACUGGGAUAGUCACUUCCUUUCUCUGGCACGCGUCUCCCACUUGUAAAAUGGGAGGAGUGGUGUAGCAGGCAGGACCGACUCCCAGUUCUGAGGUUGCCUCCAUUUCAAAAAAACUGAUUCUAGAAGGAGGAUCAGAUACAUGUUUGUUCCUGUAUAAUUUUGCCAAGCAUAGGUCCUGAUACCCAACAGCAAUCUCUCAGGGACCCAAGACCAAAGCAACUUUCUUGCUUCCUCCUUCACAUGACUGGAAAUGGAUAUGCUGCUCAGGCAAGGCAGGGGUGAGAGUCUUUUAUACACCGUCAAACACACACACACACAUGACUCUUCCAAAUGUCAGUUUAUCUUGGGAUUGUGUAGAGAGUGAAAUGUUUUUUUUUUAUCUUUACUUAAAUAUAGAGCAUCUGAAGAUUGAAA